ACAUCCCGGCCCACUGAAUGAAUUCUCUUUUCCUGUUUCCUGGCCCCUGGAAACUCAGCUGGCCUUCCGGGGACCUGAGGGUUUCUAUCAGGAAGGUCUCUGGUGGUGGUUUUCAGAUUUCUGGGGCAGGAAAUAGAGGGGGGGGUCUUAGGAUCAGUUUCAUUUCUGGAAGAAGAGCUCCUGGAGGGAGUACUGAAAGGAAUGAGGGGAGGAGGGAAGGAAUGAACGAAGGAAGGGAGCAAGGGAGGGAAACGCUGAUUCUAAGUGUCAGUGCGCCAGGCGAUCAGAGCUGACUCCUCUCCCUUUUCCCUUGGAGGUGUUGAUAGUAACAGCAGAGACGAGCUGCCAAGUUGGCAGGAGAACAGAGCGACUGUGCACUGCGGAUUGCGGUGGGGGUGGGGGUGCAGCAAGCGAGUUCUGUAGCUUCUUCCUCCACAGAGGACCUUAGAAGGCACCCAUGCUGUCAAUCAAAUAGACCUGGGACCUUGAGCAAGUCAUUCAACUUCUUUGAGCCUCAGAGACGAAUAUCUACUUCAGAGCUUUGUGUGAGGAUUCAACAAAGUAGUAACAGCAAAAACUUAUCUAUUGCUUACCACAAGGCAGACACUCUUCUAAGAGCUUUACAUACGUGAAGGCACUUAAUCUUCAAACGACUUCAUCAGGUGGGUGCUAUUAUUAUUCCCACUUUAUUAAUGAAGUAACUAAGGCACAGAAAGGGUAAGUAAUUAUCCAAGGUCACAGAGCUAGUGAGUAGCAAGGUUGGGUUUGAACUCAGUCGUGUGUCACUUAGGCCAUGUUCCCAGCCCUUACACAAACUGCCCUCACAGUGCAACAGAGUUCUUAGCACAGUGCUUGGCACAGAGCAAGCAUUUAAUAAACAUUGGCUCUCACCAUGACUUCCUGAAAGCAGUUCCAGCAGGGGACCCAGGCUCCUGACAUCCUCCCCAGGGACCCCACGGGGCCCUAGGGCUGAUUCUCUUCCAUCUUUGGUUCACACCACCUCGCUUCUCCUGGGAGCUGGAGCAGUUCCUCCACGGGAGCGAGAGCCACUGGUCUCCCCUGCUCCUUGCUCCUCGGUCCCCUCCUCCCACCUAAGGCAGA
rnacentral:lncRNA from 1 species